rnacentral:rRNA from 1 species
GCCUAACGGCUGAACUGGCAACUUGGAGAAGUGGCAAGUCUUCCAGUAUGGGGAGCAAAACAGCUAUGGGUCAAGUCCGAUAUCUUUAGGAGAAGUCUUAUUGUGAGGGCGAGUUAUAUAACACCAUANGANNGGCCGUCCCAUAUGAAAAGAUUAUAUUAGAAUUGAAUGAAGCUUUGUUUAUAUAUUGAUAAUGACAGUAUAUAUAUCGUGUCUUGACUAAUUGCGUGCCAGCAGUCGCGGUAAUACGUAAGAGACUAGUGUUAUUCAUCUUAAUUAGGUUUAAAGGGUACCCAGACGGUCAAUAUAGCUUAUAAAAUGUUAGUACUUGACUAGAGUUUUAUGUAAGAGGGCAGUACUUGAGGAGGAGAGAUGAAAUUUCGUGAUACCAAAGGGACUCUGUAAAGGCGAAGGCAGCCCUCUAUGUAAAAACUGACGUUGAAGGACGAAGGCACAGAGAACAAACAGGAUUAGAUACCCAAGUAGUCUUUGCAGUAAAUGAUGAAUGCCAUAGGUUAGAUUGAUCAAUUAUAGUCUAGGGUUAGUCUAGCAAACUAAUGCCCUAUGAUAUAAUUCAAAAUAUCUGGUCUAUAAAUGAAAGUGUAAGCAUUUCACCUCAAGAGUAAUGUGGCAACGCAGGAACUGAAAUCACUAGACCGUUUCUGACACCAGUAGUGAAGUAU